CUUCGAUAAAAUAAUUACAUUACAACUCAACGUGGAAACAAUUUCUCAAGCUACCAUCAAAAUUUCAGUAACAAUUGAAACUUAAAAAGCUUACAAACCUAUCAAAAACAAGCUCAGAUUGGUACAUAUCGUUUCAUCGCCUGUUUUGCUGCAACUCCAAGCCCAACUACAGCUCCACCAAUAACCCCUGCAACAGCCGCGGACCUCAACCCUGCCGCCGCCCUGUAAAAUGCUCCAGUCCCUAAACCCGCCACCACGCUAUUGAUAACAUCGUCUGUAUCCCUGAUCGCCACCAUCCCACUCUCUAAACCCGCAUA
rnacentral:misc_RNA from 1 species